GACGAACGCUGGCGGCGUGCUUAACACAUGCAAGUCGAACGGAAAGGCCCUGCUUUUGUGGGGUGCUCGAGUGGCGAACGGGUGAGUAACACGUGAGUAACCUGCCCUUGACUUUGGGAUAACUUCAGGAAACUGGGGCUAAUACCGGAUAGGAGCUCCUGCUGCAUGGUGGGGGUUGGAAAGUUUCGGCGGUUGGGGAUGGACUCGCGGCUUAUCAGCUUGUUGGUGGGGUAGUGGCUUACCAAGGCUUUGACGGGUAGCCGGCCUGGGAGGGUGACCGGCCACAUUGGGACUGAGAUACGGCCCAGACUCCUACGGGAGGCAGCAGUGGGGAAUAUUGCACAAUGGGCGGAAGCCUGAUGCAGCAACGCCGUGUGCGGGAUGACGGCCUUCGGGUUGUAAACCGCUUUCGCCUGUGACGAAGCGUGAGUGACGGUAAUGGGUAAAGAAGCACCGGCUAACUACGU
rnacentral:rRNA from 1 species